AAAACCACUCAAGCUCUUUUGCUUGGUCAUGGAAGAUGAGUGUCUUUGUGCUCUCACUUCCGAAAUUCAAUGGCGGAAAGCCCCAUGUGCCCCGGCGUAGUAAGUUUUCUUUCGCUUGGACUGUGAGGUGAUCCUGCCACAAACCCCCAAUUUUUCUA
rnacentral:misc_RNA from 1 species